UACGGAGGGAGCUAGCGUUGUUCGGAAUUAUUGGGCGUAAAGGGUGCGUAGGCGGUUUGGUAAGUCUUAUGUGAAAUCUACAGGCUCAACUUGUAGUCUGCAUGAGAAACUGCCGGGCUUGAGUAUGGGAGAGGUGAGUGGAAUUCCUGGUGUAGCGGUGAAAUGCGUAGAUAUCAGGAGGAACACCUGUGGCGAAAGCGGCUCACUGGACCAUAACUGACGCUGAUGCACGAAAGCUAGGGGAGCAAACAGG
rnacentral:rRNA from 1 species